GUGUGUUCCAGGUAAAUCCGGUUCACUUUAACACUGAGGCGUGACGACGAGGCACUACGGUGCUGAAGCAACAAAUGCCCUGCUUCCAGGAAAAGCCUCUAAGCAUCAGGUAACAUCAAAUCGUACCCCAAACCGACACAGGUGGUCAGGUAGAGAAUACCAAGGCGCUUGAGAGAACUCGGGUGAAGGAACUAGGCAAAAUGGUGCCGUAACUUCGGGAGAAGGCACGCUGACACGUAGGUGAAGUGAUUUACUCAUGGAGCUGAAGUCAGUCGAAGAUACCAGCUGGCUGCAACUGUUUAUUAAAAACACAGCACUGUGCAAACACGAAAGUGGACGUAUACGGUGUGACGCCUGCCCGGUGCCGGAAGGUUAAUUGAUGGGGUCAGCGCAAGCGAAGCUCCUGAUCGAAGCCCCGGUAAACGGCGGCCGUAACUAUAACGGUCCUAAGGUAGCGAAAUUCCUUGUCGGGUAAGUUCCGACCUGCACGAAUGGCGUAAUGAUGGCCAGGCUGUCUCCACCCGAGACUCAGUGAAAUUGAACUCGCUGUGAAGAUGCAGUGUACCCGCGGCAAGACGGAAAGACCCCGUGAACCUUUACUAUAGCUUGACACUGAACAUUGAGCCUUGAUGUGUAGGAUAGGUGGGAGGCUUUGAAGCGUGGACGCCAGUCUGCGUGGAGCCGACCUUGAAAUACCACCCUUUAAUGUUUGAUGUUCUAACGUGGACCCGUAAUCCGGGUUGCGGACAGUGUCUGGUGGGUAGUUUGACUGGGGCGGUCUCCUCCUAAAGAGUAACGGAGGAGCACGAAGGUUGGCUAAUCCUGGUCGGACAUCAGGAGGUUAGUGCAAUGGCAUAAGCCAGCUUGACUGCGAGCGUGACGGCGCGAGCAGGUGCGAAAGCAGGUCAUAGUGAUCCGGUGGUUCUGAAUGGAAGGGCCAUCGCUCAACGGAUAAAAGGUACUCCGGGGAUAACAGGCUGAUACCGCCCAAGAGUUCAUAUCGACGGCGGUGUUUGGCACCUCGAUGUCGGCUCAUCACAUCCUGGGGCUGAAGUAGGUCCCAAGGGUAUGGCUGUUCGCCAUUUAAAGUGGUACGCGAGCUGGGUUUAGAACGUCGUGAGACAGUUCGGUCCCUAUCUGCCGUGGGCGCUGGAGAACUGAGGGGGGCUGCUCCUAGUACGAGAGGACCGGAGUGGACGCAUCACUGGUGUUCGGGUUGUCAUGCCAAUGGCACUGCCCGGUAGCUAAAUGCGGAAGAGAUAAGUGCUGAAAGCAUCUAAGCACGAAACUUGCCCCGA
rnacentral:rRNA from 1 species